AAUAAAGAGGACUUUUAUUUUGGUGUUGCUACAUGACGUCACAAGGCCGCGCCGCGCUCCUGCGUCUGUUGUUUUUAGGCAGAGGGAAGGUUUUGUGUUUUUACUCAUUUAAAAUGUUAAAAUCGAUGCAAACUGUUCAGAUUUCAGUAUAGUUUUUCCAACAUUAGUGUUAUUUUUGUGAGUAAAGCGGAUCCACGCGCGAGUAACAGAUGCUUGUAAUUAUCGUGAAUCAGUUUAUCUUGAACAAGAAUUCAGUCGCUGGCCAGCAGUGAUGAGAGAAACGGAGCUUUUUAAAACUCAACUGAAACGAUUGAAUCGCUCUUUCACAACAGUGUAAACACAACGAAACAUUCCCGCUGAAGCGACUGAGAUCCACGUGACACUGCCUAUAAAGAUGGCCUUUAUUAAACAGGAGAGUGAAGACAUAAAGAUUUUAGAAGUAUUCAGCAUGAAUCAAGAAGAUACUGAGGAACAAACAGAACUGAUGGCACUGAAAGAGGAGAAAGAAGAACCGAAAGAAAUGGAAGAGAAAAAUCACUAUGAGAGACAUGAUUUCAUACGGCCUGAAAAAAAAUCAGUUCGGAAGACUAAAUCUAAAAGAAACUACCCUUGCCAUCAGUGUGGAUGGAUUUUCACACAAAAAGGAAACCUUAAUGUACACAUGAGAAUUCACACUGGAGAGAGGCCUUUCACAUGUCAACAGUGUGGAAAGAGUUUUGUUAAAAAAGGAAACCUUAAAGAACACAUGUAUGUUCACACUGGAGAGAAGUCUUUCAUCUGCAAACUGUGUGGAGAUAGCUUCUUACAAGCAGGAAAUCUUACGUCACACAUGAGAAUUCACACUGGAGAGAAGCCUUUCAAACGAGAGUUUCAGUCGUAAAGCAACCCGUUUCACACAUGAGAAGUCACACAGGUGAGAGUCCUUACACCUCCAAACUGUGAGGGAUCCACAGAAAUGUUAUUAAUUACAAUAAAGUGACAUGACUGGGGAUGAUUUUUUUUCAUACAUUGUCUGCAGACAUGAUUAGUAAACAAUGAAAUUCACUGGUGCUUAUUUUCAUUAACGAUUUAUUUUUUCAUUGAUAUUAACAGUUGGUUGAUACAGCUGUAACAUCAGUAAUACUCUGUACUAACUUGGACGGUUGUGCUGUCUUUGUCAUAAUUCUCAAGCUAACCAAAACAAUGUUGUGAUCUAUGUUGUCAAAAGCACUAUUAGUGUUAGAAGAAAGAUGUACUCAUGAUUGGAUGCCAAAAAGUCAUGCAUCACUUGAAUAAAUAAUUUGCUUAAAUGCAAACUGAAACGGUUCACAAGUACCAUUGCUUAAUAAAGAGGACUAAAAUUUUAGACAUGAAUGGAAGAUUCAGGACUGGUCUAUAAAAACAGUUUUGUUGCAUGAUGUUGGUUUUGGUGUUUAUACAGUGCACAGCAUAAAUGAGUAAAACCCUUCUAAAGCUUAACAAAUUCAGCAAUUACUCUUUACUUAGAUGACAUGUUAGGGUUCUUUGGAGAUAUAAUGUUCCAUCAAGCCUGCUUGAUCAAUUAGCAAAGAAGAAUGUCAAAAUUAUUCAGCAAAAUAAGAUUUUCUUAUCAAAGUGAUAAAAUGUUGUGUUGCAAAAAUGAGUACCCCCUCCUGAAAAUUACUAAAUAAAACAAACAAAAAAAAGUGUAUAGGUUUAAGGCUAUUUUUGAUCAACAGGUGAGUAUAUUGAACCAAAACUGUUAAAGACAAGUAAUUUCCUGACAAUUAAAAGUGUUAUAGCCCACUGAAUCAUACUCAGGCUUAAUGCUGGCAGCAGUGGAAGCACUUGGCAGAGAACUGCCAGGUGACUUAUUUCUUAGCAUAAAAGAGGACAAUGUUACGAGAGGAAUACCAAAUUAUUGUUUUAAGUGUGAAAAUAUAGCAGAAGUAGCACCGACAUUCAAAAACAAGGCUCCUGAAAUAAUCAGGUAUUCAUUUUUUAACAUGCAAGUGUCUCAUAGCCGUCAAAAGCUAGAUGAAAAGAGUGACACUUUAUGUCACAGAGUAUGAUGCAGCCUGCAGAAGUGACAUGCAUGGUUGUUGUCACCACUAGAAUUACCUACUGUAGCCAAAGCAAAAUAAACUCAUUUAACCUCUUCCAAGGCCCAUAUUUACAAAAUAGAGACUUCUGGGAAUCCAUACUCUGUUCUCAAGAGACCAAGUUAAUCAUUUUGGAUCCAAAAGCAUCCAAAAUGUUGUGUUGCUAGAGGAGGAGUACAGUGAGAAGUGGUUGAUACCCACAGUGCCGUUCAGUGGUAGUAAAGCUCUUAUAUAGGGAUGAGUGAGUGCUGAAGGUGUGAGGGAGUUGUGCUUUAUCAACACUGUCAUGAAUUCACACACCACUGUGAUGGAAUACAAAAACUUGAAACAGAAGACGCUAUCCUCCCCUCAUUCCCUGCAUUAUUGGGCAUUUUUUUCAGCAUGACAAUGAAGAUAUUCAUUCUCCCAAGGUGAAAAUCCUUCAGUGGACAUGUAUUUCACUCAAUCUUAACACUCUUGUGCAGCUGUGGGGGAUUCUAUAGAGACGAGAUGAGCAAAACUCCCCAUUAAAGACCAGAGCAUUCAAGGAGAUGGUCCUCCAGGAGUUAAACAGGACAGAUGUUAAAAUUUGUCAUGAACUUGUACACUCGGGAACUUGUGCCAAGAAGGGUCAGAGCACUAUAGACCAUUUCAAAGACGUAAACAAUAACAAAGGCGUUGGAACUCUACUGCGCAUGUCUGGCCCUGAAGCAUUUCCGGUAGCGCCAUUUUUAAAUCUCAGAUCUCUCAAAACAAGCGCGUACUAUUUUAGUCUAGCAAAAACGUAAUAUUUAAGUUAUUUAAUAAAUAAAUAAAUAAAUAAACGGUGAUUGGAAUACCCUAAAUAUUUCUGAGGCACAAACCUACAAGGAGCAUUAAAAGUAGUCUUCUGAACAGCUCAAAGCGGCUCUGACUGAUGCUGCCUGUGCGUGUAUGCGAGAGAUGGCGGUAAAUGUAUCGCAGUCUGGAUGCUUACAAUUAACUGCAUAGCGGAAAGUUUGGGAUCAUUUGUUCGUACAAUGGAUGACAUCAGUCUUAUGUUCGGUUAAACUGAAGCUAGACAAACAGUGUCACUUACGUACUUAUCAUGGUUUGUCGCCAAGAUGUCCAGGGAGCCGAUUAGUUGACAUUUCACUUGCAUUGCUGGGUCAGUCUGUAUAUCUAUGCAAAUAUUAUUUUCCAUAUUUAUUUGUAUAGCGCUUUUCACAAUACAUAGUUUCACUGCAGCUUUACAGAACAUGCAUGUAUAUUACAACGCUAUAUGAAUGCUAAUAAACUAAUCACUACAUGCCAUUAUUACUGAUUUUAUUAGUUUUAAAAUGUGUGCUUAGUUUGGUUAAGUUUGUUGCUGUGGAAUUAACAGAUUAAUAAAUGCACACACACUAAAUACAGUAUAUAUGUGGGUAUAAAUGUUUUUAUGCACAUUUACUGUAAACACAUACACAUACAGUAGUACUGGUCAAAAGUGUGGGCACUAUUACUAUUUUUAAUGUUUUUCCGAAUCAGAAUGAGCUUUAUUGCCAGGUAUGUUUACACAUACGAGGAAUUUGUUUUCGUGACAGAAGCUUCCACAGUGCAACAGAUGACAGAGACAGGACAAAAAAUACAGAUAAUAAAAAGAAGAAUUGGACAUGAAUAGUGUGUAUUCCACAAUUAUUGUCAGGUGUUCAUGAGAUGGAUUGUCUGAGGGAAGAAAUUGUUUCUGUGCUGGCCGUUCUGGUGCUCAGAACUCUGUAGCGUCGACCAGACGAGAAAAACAAAACAAGACUUUUUGAAAGAAGUCUCCAAUGCUCAUCAAGCCUGCAUUUAAUUGAUCAAAAAUAGACAAAAAGAGUCAUAUUUUGAAAUAUUACAAUUUAAAAUAAUGGUUUUCUAUUUUAAUGUGCUUUAAAAUAUAAUUUAUUUCUGUGAUCAAAUCUGAAUUUACAGCAUAAUUACUCCAGUUAUCAGUGUCACAUGAUCCUUCAGAAAUCAUUCUAAUAUGCUUAUUAUCAGUGUUGGAAACAAUUGUGCUGCUUAAUAUUUUUUAUAACCUGUGAUAAUUUUAGUAUUCUUUGAAGAAUUAAAGAACAGCAUUUAUUUAAAAUAUAAAUAUUUUGUAACAACAUGCUACUACUGUUCAAAAGUUUGGGAUCAGUAUUUUUUAUUUAUUUAUUUUUUGAAAGAAUAUUAAUACAUGUAUUCAGCAAGGAUUUUAAAUUGAUUAAAAAAGUGAUAGUAAGGACAUACUGUUAGGAAAGAUUUCUAUAUUUUGAAAAUCCCUGCCAGGAUUCAAUCAAUCAAUUGUGUAUAAAGUAUCACAGUUUCCAGAAAAAUAUCAAGCAACACAAUUGUUUCCAACACUGACAAUAACCAAAUAUCAAAUCUGCACAUAAGAAUGAUCUCUGAAGGAUCAUGUGACAAGACGAGUAAAGGUUGAUGAAAAUUCAGCUUUGCAUCACAGAAAUAAAUACAAAGAAUAUUAAAACAAAACCAUUUUUUAAAAAUGUAAUAUUUCACAAUAUUACUGUUUUUGUCUGUAUUUUUGAUAAAAUAAAAUGGAGGCUUGAUGAGCAUGAGACGUCUUUUAAAAACAUUAAAAAUAGUAAUGUGUCUAAUAGUAAUAAAUCUAAUACUAAUAAUAAUGUAUAGUGUGACUUUUGACCAAUACUGCAUAUAAACAAAAGACAUCCUCUCACUUUCAACUGUUUCCAUUUAUUAAUAUGUGAUCAAUAUCAAAAGCAGCAGUCAGUAUCUGGCCUGGCCAUGAGCGGCUUUAUGUACUACAUUGCAUUUCAUCCUCAAGUUCUCAAACACAUCUGGGUGUUCAUAUGGUCACAUGUGGUUUGGCACUGUCCUGUCUCCCUGUAGCACUCAGUGACAUUACAGAUGAUGGCUUUCCUAAAGACAAAAGUAGAAAUUAUUUAAUUUAAUGCACAAUAUUUAAAAAUAAUGCUAUUAUUGUUUAAUACAUCAGUACAUGUUGGAAUUAAUUAGUACUUAAUAAGUGAUUAAUUUUUUUUUUACCGUUACCUUUUGUAAACUACAGUUAACUGUUACACUAUACAACAUUCAAGUUUACAGUAUACAUUUCUAUAAUGUGUUACGCACUGCAUUUAUCUGCUGACAAGAUAGCUGGACAACUAAUGUGAACUCAUAUUUAAUUAUAGCCCUCAUAAUGCUUGCAAUAAAACGGAAAUAAAAGCUUGGCCUUUUUCACUAAAAAAGAAUCAAAACACUAGGCGCAUAUGUAAACAAUGAUGGAAACACAAUGCUGCAUCAUACUUGAAGAGUUAACGUAAAGAAAUUUCCUUACCUGAAUGGAAAUGUUAUAUCCUAGAGCUGCUAGUUGCUAUUCUGCCUUCUCGCUUCACUGCUGCAAUCCAGGUGCGUUUCUCGGAAAUCUAAACCCUUUAAUUUCCGAUUAUUUAUAAAUGAAUGUUAGUUCCAGCCCAGAGGGAGCACCCAACCACUGAGCAACAAGGAUCUCAAUUUUAAUUUUGACAAUUUAAACAGCAGAAUUAAAUAAAUUAUCGCAAUCCUACUGCGUAUCAAGCGCCUGCCACCAUUGUUUCGAAUGCGCUCGAACAUUAACCGGAAACAUCCGAGGACCAAAGACGUCACUUCCUUAAACAGCCGAACAGCCGUUGAAAUGGUCUAUACUUAGUUCUGGAGGACAUACUAAGUACUAGAAUAUUAUACAUUUGCUGAAUUAAAUCUAGGAUGUACUCAUUUCUGCAUUCCUUCAUUUAAACAAAAUUGGCUAAUUUACUUAUCUUAAAGAAAAUAUUGGCAUAUAUUUUGUUGUUUUUAUUAAGUAUAUGUUUAAUACAUUUCAAUUCUGCCAUCUUUCCAUGAUUUAUAUUAGUGAUCAUUAAGAAAAUACAUUUUAUAUUUAUUCAGAGGGGGUGUACUUAUUUAUGCUGUGCACUGUAUCUUGGUUUUGAUGUCUGUUGGUUUGAGCUAUUAAAUUGCUUUUAACUUGUA